AAUCUGUAUAUAUUAUAAUAAUUUUGUUUGGCGCAACCUACCUAAGUUGCACACAUUUUUGCAGCUACUGCAGGUGCUUAGCUAAUAAACAACCAGUUCAAGGUGUAUUCAAGCAUCCUACUCCACCGCUUAUCAAUUGCAUAGGGCGCUCCGUGCAUGGAUUACCUCGAAGUCGAACGUAGGAUAAUAUGUGCCGAUAUGUCGCUGCGGACUAUAUGGAUCGGUGGACCCAGCACCAUCAUUUGCGACAUUGCCGCUCACGUUCAUAGCUUUGGACGCACAUGGAACAUUUUAACAAGGACGUAAAUCAGCUUGGCAACAAUUUGCAGCCCAAUUUAAGCACUGGAACAAUAUGCAGCAUAAAAUCAUUGCAUACUUUUGUGGUGUGCGGAAAAGCAUAGCCGUAUAUUUUUGUUGAAUACUUUAGGGCAUAUUUAUUAAUUGUCAAGUUGAAAUUAAUCUCAUUAUCCAUAAGCAGGAUCUAUGUGAGCUUCCAUUAUUAUGUAUAAAACUGUUCUUUGUAACGAGAAACCAAUAAUAAA
rnacentral:sRNA from 1 species